CUGCGACAGAAUUAUCUGUUUAUACAGAGAUGAACAUGUAUUAAUCGCUGAUAUCUGGAAAGAUUAUAUUGCUGUUAUCUUCGUAAGUUAUCACUUUGUACAUGUUUAUAUGUUUUGAUAACAGAUCUUAAACCAGCCUUGUUACGGCGUUUUGAUCGUUGAAUAAGUUAUACGUCAAACGAGGUGUUUCAAUUACUGAACAAUCGAAUCUGCUUAUAUAGCAAUAGCUUGGGAUAAAGGUUCUAAUCUGCAUGUAUUUGGUUUAGGGUGAUAAGUGAGAUCAGAUUAAGGAUUUGGGACCAGGAUAUACUCAACCUCGUACACUGUAAAUUUUAAGGAGUUGAAUCAAGUCCAAAAGAGUUAUUCUGUCACGAAAAACGGUUUUCUUUGAGAAACUAUUUGGAAUCUGUUUGGAAGCUAUUUAAGAAUUAAAUUCGAAUCAACGGCAUAUACUUGAUACAAAAAUAUGCCACAAACAUUGCAGGCUUGAAAACGGAAGCGAGGUAGCGAGGGGCGUGACUAAAACACCACAUGAGUUGCA